rnacentral:rRNA from 1 species
UACGUAUGGUGCAAGCGUUAUCCGGAUUUACUGGGUGUAAAGGGAGCGCGGGCGGCACGGCAAGCCUGAUGUGAAAGCCCGCGGCCCAACCGCGGGACUGCAUUGGGAACUACCGGGCUGGAGUGCCGGAGAGGUAGGCGGAAUUCCUAGUGUAGCGGUGAAAUGCGUAGAUAUUAGGAGGAACACCAGUGGCGAAGGCGGCCUACUGGACGGUGACUGACGCUGAGGCUCGAAAGCGUGGGGAGCAAACAGG